ensembl:miRNA
UUAGUUCCAGCCUCCCGGCUCACCUGGAACCAUUUCUCCUGGGAAGCAUCGUAGCCAGGAGAGUGGAUUCCAGGUGGUGAGGGCUUGGUACU